ensembl:lncRNA
GUUGGUGGGGGAGAGAAGAGUGGCAGGAGAGGGAGACAGGUUGGUGGGGGAGAGAAGAGUGGCAGGGAGAGGGAGACAGGUUGGUGGGGGAAGAAGAGUGUCAGGGAGAGGGAGACAGGUUGGUGGGGAGAGAAGAGUGUCAGGGAGAGGGAGACAGGUUGGUGGGGAGAGAAGAGUGUCAGGGAGAGGGAGACAGGUUGGUGGGGAGAGAAGAGAGGCAGGGAGAGGGAGACAGGUUGGUGGGGGAAGAAGAGUGUCAGGGAGAGGGAGACAGGUUGGUGGGGGAAGAAGAGUGGCAGGGAGAGGGAGACAGGUUGGUGGGGAGAGAAGAGUGUCAGGGAGAGGGAGACAGGUUGGUG